GUUAGUGAGAUGGUUUUGGUGGAGUGAGGAGCGCAGUGAGCAGAGGAGUUGAUGGGAGAUAAACAAAGAUGGCAAGGGUAGAACUAAAUGAAAUUUUGUUUUCAAUAGGAGAAGGGAAAUAGGAUGACAUGAGAGGCAGAUGAGACCUAAUGCCCUAGACAGCCAGAAGUUCCUUUGAAAAACUCCUAUUUUGAAAGUUGUCAAAGUUCUUUCACAUAACUCUCCACUUCUAAUGAACUGGUGCGAUAGAGACAAUAAGAAUAUAUUUACAGAAGGGACCAUAAGAACAUCCUGAGAAGAACUCAAGAUAGAAAAAGAGAAUCAAGACCAUUACAUAUAAGUUUUAGACCUCAAAUCACUUGGAAGAGUUGAAGAUCUAAAGGACAUUUGGGGAAUAAGACAGACAGAGUGAAGCCACAAGAC
rnacentral:lncRNA from 1 species